GGGGCGUUGGAGAUGUAUCUCCAGUACACAGGUGCCCUCUCCCAUGUACAAGGACCGAUGGCUUGGGAUAGAGAACUUGAAGGACUUGUAGUAUGAAGUCAUAUCUAAUGGAUAUAUUGAACUUUUACAAAUUGUUUAGGGGCUUUCUGGGCCUUGCAAUAUUUGUUCCCUACCAAGGAAUGUAAUUUUGUUUGGGCCCCUUAGAAAUCAGAAACUCCUUUUCAUGUGUUAUUUACCCACCCAUAUUCUUUUUAUUCCA